rnacentral:sRNA from 1 species
UCGAAGGGCUAUGCAGUAGACAGUAGAACUUACAGGACCCAGACUUUGAUUACUUGUGUUCUCCAACCGAUACCACAACCUCUUUCUUCUUGUUUCUAGCAGAAGCCUGCAGUUGUCAUUAAUCUUAAUACUGAGCUCCAGUCCAUAUUAUCCAAACACUUUUGAAGGAAGGGAUGGCAGAGAGGGAGGGCCAUGUGGCAGCUGAACCAGGCUGCACCGUGUCCACCAAUUUUCUCAGCUUCUCCUAUCUUACCUCACAUAGGCUUUUCUUUGUGGGCUCAAGAGAAGGCCAUCUCCCUGAUGCCAUCUGCAUGAUCCAUGUUGAGCGGUUCACACCAGUGCCUUCUCUGCUCUUCAAUGGUAUCAUGGCAUUGAUCUACUUGUGCGUGGAAGACAUCUUCCAGCUCAUUAACUACUACAGCUUCAGCUACUGGUUCUUUGUGGGGCUUUCUAUUGUGGGUCAGCUUUAUCUGCGCUGGAAGGAGCCUGAUCGACCUCGUCCCCUCAAGCUCAGCGUUUUCUUCCCGAUUGUCUUCUGCCUCUGCACCAUCUUCCUGGUGGCUGUUCCACUUUACAGUGAUACUAUCAACUCCCUCAUCGGCAUUGCCAUUGCCCUCUCAGGCCUGCCCUUUUACUUCCUCAUUGUCAGAGUGCCAGAACAUAAGCGACCGCUUUACCUCCGAAGGAUCGUGGGGUCUGCCACAAGGUACCUCCAGGUCCUGUGUAUGUCAGUUGCUGCAGAAAUGGAUUUGGAAGAUGGAGGAGAGAUGCCCAAGCAACGGGAUCCCAAGUCUAACUAAACACCAUCUGGAAUCCUGAUGUGGAAAGCAGGGGUUU